GGUAAUGGGAUGCGGGAAGUGGGUGUACGGGUACGGGACAGACUUGGCAAAGGUAUGGGAACGAUAUGGGGUGGAGUUGGGACGGGAUAUGGAUAUGGGAUGGGAUUGGGUUGAUCAUAAGAUGGGAUAAGUAUACGGAAUGGAUAUGGGGUGGACACGGGAUGGAUGCGGGGAUAUGGAUUCGGGAAGGCUGUGGGAUGGAAAUGGAUAUGGGACAUGGGGUACAGGAUGGGGAUAGGAUAUGGGAUGUGCGGGUAUGGAUGUGGGAUGGCUUUAGGAUGGGGUAUGGGAUUGGAUAAGGGAUGGGACAUUGAUACGGGAUGGAUAAGGAGAUGGGAUCGGUCUGGGAUGAGAUAUGGAUUUGAGAUGGAUUUGGGAUGGUUAUGGGAUGGAUAAGGUGAUGGGGAUAUAGAAAGAGAUUUGGCAUGGAGUUGGGAUGGGAUAUGGAUACGGGAUGAGAUAUGGGAUGGGAUACGGGGAUACGGACAUGGGAUAGGGGAUGGAUACGGGAUGGAUUUGGGAUAUGGAUACGGGAUGGAUUUGGGAUAUGGGUGUGGGAUGGAUAUGAUGGUUUGGGUAUUGGAAGGGUUAUGGAUACAGG
ensembl:lncRNA